rnacentral:rRNA from 1 species
UACGGGGGGGGCAAGCGUUGUUCGGAAUUACUGGGCGUAAAGGGCUCGUAGGUGGCCAACUAAGUCAGACGUGAAAUCCCUCGGCUUAACCGGGGAACUGCGUCUGAUACUGGAUGGCUGGAGUUUGGGAGAGGGAUGCGGAAUUCCAGGUGUAGCGGUGAAAUGCGCAGAUAUCAGGAAGAACACCCGUGGCUAAGGCGGUUCUCUAGUACGGUACUGACGCUGAGACGCGAAAGCGUGGGGAGCGAACAGG